AGGGGUGUAGCUCAGUAGUAGAGAUCUCGCCCAGCAUGCUGAGGGUCCUGGGUUCAAUCCCCAGCACCGCCA
rnacentral:tRNA from 1 species